UUACUGAGUUUACGCUCUAUAACCCUUUGUGAACAUACCUAUAACUGUUGCUUCGGCGGGUAGGGUCUCCGCGACCCUCCCGGCCUCCCGCCCCCGGGCGGGUCGGCGCCCGCCGGAGGAUAACCAAACUCUGAUUUAACGACGUUUCUUCUGAGUGGUACAAGCAAAUAAUCAAAACUUUUAACAACGGAUCUCUUGGUUCUGGCAUCGAUGAAGAACGCAGCGAAAUGCGAUAAGUAAUGUGAAUUGCAGAAUUCAGUGAAUCAUCGAAUCUUUGAACGCACAUUGCGCCCGCCAGCAUUCUGGCGGGCAUGCCUGUUCGAGCGUCAUUUCAACCCUCAAGCUCUGCUUGGUGUUGGGGCCCUACAGCUGAUGUAGGCCCUCAAAGGUAGUGGCGGACCCUCCCGGAGCCUCCUUUGCGUAGUAACUUUACGUCUCGCACUGGGAUCCGGAGGGACUCUUGCCGUAAAACCCCCAAUUUUCCAAAGGUUGACCUCGGAUCAGGUAGGAAUACCCGCUGAACUUAAGCAUAUCAAUAAGCGGAGGAAAAGAAACCAACAGGGAUUGCCUCAGUAACGGCGAGUGAAGCGGCAACAGCUCAAAUUUGAAAUCUGGCCCUAGGCCCGAGUUGUAAUUUGCAGAGGAUGCUUUUGGUGCGGUGCCUUCCAAGUUCCCUAGAACGGGACGCCAGAGAGGGUGAGAGCCCCGUACAGUUGGACACCAAGCCUUUGUAAAGCUCCUUCGACGAGUCGAGUAGUUUGGGAAUGCUGCUCAAAAUGGGAGGUAUAUUUCUUCUAAAGCUAAAUACCGGCCAGAGACCGAUAGCGCACAAGUAGAGUGAUCGAAAGAUGAAAAGCACUUUGAAAAGAGGGUUAAACAGCACGUGAAAUUGUUAAAAGGGAAGCGCUUGUGACCAGACUUGCGUCCGGUGAAUCACCCAGCUCUCGCGGCUGGGGCACUUCGCCGGCUCAGGCCAGCAUCAGCUCGCUGUCGGGGACAAAAGCUUCAGGAACGUAGCUCUCUUCGGGGAGUGUUAUAGCCUGUUGCAUAAUACCCUUCGGCGGGCUGA
rnacentral:misc_RNA from 1 species